GUAACAGAGAUCUCUGGAGGUGAAACAUUGCUCUGAAUUGGUAUUGAUUCUAGUUCAGCUCUUGUAGACCAAUUACCAACUUCUCUGUCUCCCUCCAGUGCCUGGAACUGGACCUGGCACACAGGUAUUUAAUAAUUAUUUGUUUACUGGAAUAAAGAAUGAUUAUGUGAAUACAUGGUUGAAAGGCUAAACAAAUUGGCUGCUUCGUUGAAUUUAUUAGGCUACAGAUCCAGAGACCCUAUGAAGUCUCUACUGGAGCACAUAAAAGGGAUGUGACUCAGAGACCAGUACUCCCUCAGUAAAUUUCAGUGGUCCAAGCCCAGGUUCAUCGGAAAAUGUGUUUCCAUAAUAUUUCUUCUACACUGGCCUCAAUUUGGAAGCAAUGAACACUCUCAAAGUAAUCACAAAAGUAUUUUCAUUGAUGUUUAUAGGAUUUAAAAAACUUUAUGUUAUAUCUUAGUAUAACAGCACCUACAGUCUGAAAUAGCAUAGUAUUAAUACUUUCUGUAAGACUUUAAGUUUUUUGAAGUUGUUUUUUGGUUUGAAACUUUAAGUUGAUUGAUAAACCCAACUUCUUUCUAGUUAUCCUAGAAUUUUAAGUGAUGAUCAUUCAUAAAAUGAAUAGGGAAAAUCUUGGUAGCAUCAGUACAAAUUUAAGUCUAUAUGCUGCUAAUAAAUUUCUUGAGGAACAGGCCAUACGUGUUGAUGAAAUUCUUAAAUCCCUAUAACAUAGACACUUUUAAAGGAAAAUCUGCAUUUCCUUAUAGCACUAAUUUCAGCAAGCGCAAAAUGUAUAUUGACUGGAUGUCAUACACCUUUGCUCCUUACAUAAAAUGAUAUUUGGUGUGCAUUUAAAGAAAAACCAUGCACUCACUGUAGUUUGCUAAUGUCUUUAUUUUCCAAUCAUUUUGCUUCACGUGUGAGUGUUAUAAGAGACUAGUUGAGAAAAUCUUGGAGACUGAAAGCAAGUCGAUGAUUUUUCAAAAAAUACUAAUGCAGAGGGUAAGCCCAUGACUAAAUAAGUCAUUAGCAUCUGUGUUAUCAUAGCUUCUUUAUAAGAUUGUUAACAGAAUCCUUGAAGAACAAGAAAAGUAGAAGAAGGAAGAUAGACACUGUGCUAGUAAGUUUAUAAUCAUUAUCUUAUUUGAUCCUCUUAGCAUCGCUGUGAUGUGGAUGCUGAUAUCCCCAUUUUACAGAUGAGAUAUCUGAAGAACAAGAUUUUAAAUUGUGUACUAGUUCUCACAGACAGAUAAUAAGUAGGCAAAUUAGAAUGUAUGUUUAUCAGGCUCCAAAGUUUGAACUUUGUGUUAUUGUAUUACAUUACAGCCCUAUGCUGGGCUUGUAUUUUUACCUAGAUGAUACAAUACUUGUUCAGACAAUACUGCAUUAUCCCUGGCAAAUUCCAGAAGUAGUAAGAAAUUCAGUACAUCAGAAAGCAUACAGGAGUAGAAAGAAGUACUGUUAAAAAAUAAGAGACUAAGGCCAAAUGUAAAGAACUUUACAUGUAAAGUUAAGGACUUCAGACUUUACCCUGAAGGCCAAGGAUUCACACAUUUUAGUGUGCAUGAAAAUCCUCUGGAGGGCUUGGGCCCUAUCUCCAGAGUUCCUGAUGAACUUGUGACUAGUAAGGAAAACUUUAAGGCUCUCUCAAAAUCUUUAGCUUGAGGGUAAGAUAGAUCAUGAAGUUACUAAUAAAGACUGGAGGAAGCUGUAAAACAUGCUAAAGUUUUGUUUUUGUUUUUGCCCUUUUCAAAAAAAACUUAUUAAACUUGGAAUGUUUUAAAAACAACAGAUGGUGAUGACCAAUGGGGAAUUGUAAGCAGAUCUGGGACUCAAGAGUGAGGUCAGGGGCAAAGACACUGAUGUUAAGAGUCAAUAGCACAGAAAUGGCUUUUCAAGCCACAGGCAUGCAUGAAACACCUCGGAGCUUCAGAAUAAGAAAAGAUAACUGAAGUUUGAACAUGUGGGGAGAAAUCAUUAUUUACAGGAUGUGCAGAAAAACAACACUCAUUAAAGAAAUAGAGAAAGGAACUCAGAAUUCUAAGACAAAUAAAAGACCAAAGGUAGACUAUGGCCUCUGAAACUAAGGACAGGAAGAAUUUUGAGAGAGACUGUGGUCAACAGUAUCAAACAGUUUUCUGAGAGUUAGUGAGUAGAUUCCAUUUUUUAUUAAAAGGACAAAAGUAUAAACUCUUUCAUUAACUUGUGUUCUAGUGGUUCCACUGAUCUGGAAAUAUGAAUUAAGGCUCUAAAAUAAGAAGCAGUAGCGUGCUUACAGUCUAACAUACAGUGAUAGGAAAUUAUUGUUAGUCAAGUGCCAUAGAUGUGGAAACUGAAAUUUAGAGAGCUCUAGUGACUUGCCCUUAAUCAUCAUACAGCUAUAGCUGAAUCAGCAUGGAAUGGAGUCUUCUGACUUACCAACAAACUCUGGGAAAGGGUUAUCAACUGUGCUGCACUCUGAGGAGCUUGAUUGGUUUAAUCUCUAGAAAGGAAUUUACCACCCCACCAGGUAGUUCAUUUAGAGUUCAUUCAAAUCUGGUAUUUAAGCCUUAUUUAAUAAUCAGACUCAUGCAAAGUAUUAUGAAAAAAAGAUUAAUAGUAUGAUGGCCAUAAAAAUGUAUAAACACAUAUUGAGGUCAAGUAACCUUAAAUGUAUCUAUACUUGAUCUUUCUAUCUACACCAUCCUGUAAAAUAAUAAACUUUAUUAUGUUUAUUACAGUAACAGUUAUGUGGCCAAAAUUAGAUAAGGUAAUAUAUUGAUGUUAACUAUCACUUUUGGAAAGUAUUGGCCACAUCUUACUUUUUUUAAAUUUUUAAUAUAAAUUUAUGGACACUGACAAUCAUUAUUUGAGGACAACCUAUACCCUAUUUGCAAUAUAAUACAAGUGUGAAAUUACUAAUGCCUGAUAAUUGAAAGCUCAGAUCAAAUAGUUGGCAAAAAACUUAAUAGUUAAAAUUUUUUAAAAAGAUGAGUUCAAGAUAAAGUCCAAAUGUACUUUUUAUUAUCUCUUGGAUUUAAAUACAUGUAGUAGGACGAUAUAGAUAGAAGUUCUUUGAUCAAGACCACAAAAUCAAAUAUGGUUUUGAAAUCAAAAUGCCAAUGACCAUACCAACACUACCUAUUUUGUAUAUAACAUUUUAGUGCAUCGUAGAAAAGAUUAAACAGUAUUAUUUAUAAUGUAAAGAAAGUGGCUACUAAAGUAAGCACCACAUGCAAACUCUGAAACAAAGACUGAAGAAAAUUAAACAUGGCAGACUUACACAUGGAGUAAUGAAUUCAUUGUCAUUAUGAUCAUAUAACUGAUCAUAACACAAAUAGGUUUUUCCCACCCAGAGCUUUAUGAGUAACCAUGAUGUUUACACAUACACACACACGAAUAAAUCUUUACAAAAACUACAUACAGCAAUUGUAGCAAAACUCUGUCAAAUUUCCCAAAUAUUGUUUUAUAAAGGAGUAAAGCAGCAUAUCAAUGGAAGAAUUAAUUUUUCAUUCUCAUUUGCUAAAUGACACGUGAAUAUUGGAAGCUGCUAGUUACUACAACACGAUUCUCUUAUUAAGUUACAACUUUAUCUUUUUCAGAGUAGUUCAAGCAAGUGCAAGUGCUAAAAAUAAUAAAGUACUUAUUUCAGAUAAAUUGAUUCUUGAUCUAUGAAUCUGUAUUAAUAUCAUAGGCCCAAUCCAAAGGUUUGAUUUUUAGAGAUUGACUUGGAAGCUAGAAGUAUUCUUGAUGGGUACCACAUUAAAUUCUCAAUGCUAUUAUUAUCACCUAGUAUACAACAUCAUAAAAAUGGCAUUGAUAAAGUAUUGUAUGUACAUAAGGAAUGAUGUAAGCAGACCAAGUCUUUCUUAUAACUGGAGUAAAGAAUUAUGAACAAACUGUUAAGUGAACUCCUCUAGUCUACGUUGGCCUAGAGGCAUUAUUCCCACCAGGUCCAUGAGUUUGAUGACAGUAUCAGUUAUGAAAGUGUUAGUACACAAUUUCACUCAAAAACAGGUUCUUUAAAUGGAUUGAAUUCAUCUAAAUUAGUUUAAUCUAAAAUUAGAAAAUAGAAAUUAAUUAUAACUGAAUAUUCUAUAAAACUAUAGAACAGGUUUUAAAAUAGAAACUAUAGGAUGAGUUUUAAAGUAUAUAUGACAAGUUUUAAAAUAUAGAUUAAUCCAGGAAAUGAUAUUGGAUAAACUUAUAAUUACUAAUAUGUAUUUUGUGCCAAUUGCCACAAAAUCCAAAGUACCAUAUUUAGAAGACUACAGUUUGAAUGGCUUCAAUUCUUGACCUCUCGGCUGCACGUGAACUAUCAUCAGGGAACUGAAAGACACGGCCCUAUUAUUCUGUGAAGUUAAGACCAAGUCCUUCAAUUCUGAAAAAAGAAUUAUUGGCCUGGGUUUUGAGGUAAGGCAGUGGGAGGAAUUGCUGAUAGAAAGAAUACAAAUCACCUCCCUGCUAUUAGACACAAUAUUAACAAUAGGAAAUAGUUAUAAUUGUUUUCUCUGAGCUGGUAACAACUUUUAAAUAAAAUGAUUCUUAUUUGCAGAAUUCUGACUUAGGCUAAAUUCAUGAAAGCAUCUUCAACAUCAGUAAUUGGUUCUCUCACUGUUUAAGAGAGCAUUAACAAAGAUUUAUGCCAAAUUAGUUUAUGAGCAAGUAAAAAUUCCAGUGAUUUUACGUAGUGUAUCUUGCCAUUGAAACUUUUUUUUUCACAUGCAGGUUUUAUAUUUUUUUAUGGUCAAUUGAAUUCAGCUUGGCGCAUAAUUUUAUGUCAUAAAUUAAAGUUAUUAAAUAUUAUUGUUUAAUGGGUCAGAAAUUAUCAAAAUAUUUGAUAUGAACUAUUAUUAAUUAAUUUGUAUUUAUAGUCAAAUUAUUAUGGCUAAUAGAGUCUUACACAUUCAGGGUUUUCUUGGGAAUGCAUUAAGUAUUCAAACAGUAACUAUUUCAAUACUGUAUAUAAAAUUAAAUAUUUAUAUGCACACUUUAGCAAUCUGGACAGUUCUAAUCAAUUUGACCUUUGAAUUCUACACUUGCUACAGUAUAAGGUUCUUUAGCAGAGUUCUAAGAGAAUACCUUUAUAUAGAAAGGCUGAUAUAUAUAAUAAAGUUUUUUUCCUGUGGUGAAAUAUAUUGAAUUCUCACAGUAAGCAUCACCAUAUUUAAGUACUAUAUAAGGAAGAUCAUAUCAAUUAUUUGUAUUAUUUUAUAUGAUUAUUUUCUAUAUUUCAUUUCUUUAAACUCAAUCAUCUGUUGUUUAGUUUUCCAAGUAAUUUUGGAAAUGAAAGAAUGACUAUACUAUAUUAGAGAAGUGAAAUAAAUGCUUUAGUAUGAAAAAAUUUUCUUUUGCUAUUAUAAAUAGGACCUUCUGUAAUUUUCACAUGGAUUUGAUUUCUAAUAAAAGGGAAAUAUCAAUUUUUUAUCAUUGGCAGUCUACUUAUAAAUAAAAUAAAUAUAAAUGUAAGCAUAGGAUCAAGAAGGUGGACUCAUUAGUAUUAGGAAUCAGAAGUGUACCAUAAUUAGCAUUCCUGCCUUUUCAUUGAAUAAUAUGAUAUUGACUGUAAGUGCCUUCUAAAAGUGUCUUUUUAAAAAUAUGAAAGUGAUACAGUUGACUCAAACAUUUUAAAUGUAUAAUAUUUACAGUGCAAAAUUAAACUUUCCUCCACUAUCUCCUUGAUUCAACCCCCUUGAGGUAAUCAAGAGAGAGAGAAAGAGAGGGGAGAGAGAGAGAGGAAAGAGAGAGAGAGAGGAAAGAGAGAGAGAGAGAAAUUGGCAUAUCUUUCCAUAUUUUUCAGUGUGCAUCCAUACAACACUAUAGCUGUGAAAUAAUCCUUAUCUUGAUUGUAAACUUAUGUAGCUAUUUAAGAUGCUCCUUUCAAUUACUGAAAAUAUGUUCAAAUUAAAAGCUUUAUUAUUCUUCAUGGUUUUCCCUUUGAUUGCCUUGAAGCUGUGUUUUCUACUAUACUGCUUGAGUAGAAAUUAUGUUAAAUAUAUGUAUCACAUUAGAACAUGUCCUAAGUUGUUCACUUACAAAUUUAUCACUGGCAUUUCCUAAGAUAAACAUUAACAAUGUAAGCCUAUUUCAUGCUAUCAUGGAUGGUGGUUAACGCUAUUUAGUUAAUUAUUGUUCCAAGAGGUGUGAAGUAGGAAUAUCUAAUGACUUGAUAAUCUAACGCUCAAAAGAAGAAACUAUCAAACAUAUAGCGGCACUGUACAAAACACAGAACUCAACAAAAACCUUACUCAAAGAGAAUGAUUGAUGCUGAAAAGAACCUAAAAGUGUUACAUUUAAAGUACAUACUAUAAAUUGUUUGCUUCACACAACAAAAAAAGAUAUUCUUUAAGGAGCAGAGCCUAGAAUGGUUAUUUCACCUGAGCCUUAAAAUACUCACAAAAGACAGUAAGAAAGUUGAGAGAAGAAAAUCAAAAGGAGGAGAUGGGUAUAAAAGAGAAGAAAAAUUAUGGCAGACAUUCAUGGUAAACUAAGCGCCAUUAUCUGUUAAUAAGCAAGAAAGACAUUUUAAAAUUAGUUUCAAGUCACUGUUAUUCAUCUUUUAAUUUAACGGCAUAGUUUUACCAUCAAUAUCUACAAUUGUGUUCUUGAAUCAUUAAGGAGUAAAAUAGUAAAGUUCGAUUAAAGGAUCAAAGGACCCUUUGAGAAGAAUUCCACACAUAGUUACUAUGUGGCAUAAGAGUCCAAUAUUUUCCAAUUUCCCAUUAUGUUACAGGAUAACUAGUUGUUUAAAUACCCUCUUCUGGUGCAGAACCAAGAUAACCUUUCUUUUCUCUUGCAAUUGUUCAGGGCCUUUAUUUUUUUCCUUCUGGAGAAGUGAAAAAAAGUGUGAACAUUGUCCUUUUAUAGAGUUUUUAAAAUUGGAGGUCAUUAAUAUUAUUGAUAUUACUAUUUGUGACUUUCAUCUUGAGUGUAAUGACAUUUCUUAACAUGAUUUAGAUUUCUGGGCCCCUCAAGGUCUCUGCAAUAUUGUUUUUGAUAUGAAAUUUCUCAAGAUUCUUUUUGAAAGGUAAUGCCUCAAGUUAAAAAAUAACUGAAGCUCAGGAAUUUCAGGAAAAAAUGGAAAUAAUUUAAAAAUACUCCAGAUAUUAUUGAUCAGUGGAAAACUCAACUGUAUUUUCUUCUGUUGUCUAAGUUUUAAUGUUACUUUCACUAAUUUAGCAGAAAAUUGUCAGUUUAUUAACUAGUUGCAAUAAAUUCUGGGCUCACAUUCUAAUUAUGGACAACUAAAACGUUACCUCUUUUUUUAAAAAAAAAGGCAAUAAAACCGAUUUUUUUCCUUUCCUAUUUUUCUUUGUCUAUUGCUAGCAGAGAAAUAUCGUGUAGGCUCUGGGAGGAACAGCUACUCAUUCAGCAUGAAACACACAGUUCCAUCACAAGGUCAACAUGCUAUAUAGUAUUCUGUUGGUGAAAUAAUGAGGUCAAAUCUCAGCCACCACCAGAGAAAUUCAAAAUAAAACCAAUGAUUUCACGGAGAGCUCUUCUUUUUCUCAGAAUCUUCUACCUAGGGCACUUUCUAUCCAAUAACAUGAACACUUACAUGACUAAAUGAUAAGAUAUGAAUAUUUUAAAAAUCAUACAAAAGCAACAACACUUGGCCAUAUAAGAAGGCUGGACUGGCUACAGAUUUCUCAGCCAGGUCCUAUAGUAUCAUCUGGAAGUAUUUUUCUAAUGAAAAGAACAGAAGCAUUUACUAGUAAGAGCUAGGAGUGUAAAGUGGCCAUUGAUAUUCAAGGGUUGUCUCUGUGCUCUGUCACAGAACUUGUCAGGCCUCUGAGCCCAAGCCAAGCCAUUGCAUCCCCUGU